rnacentral:lncRNA from 1 species
AUUCCUUUAUGUUGGCAUCAUUACGUGGGAAUCUUGUUCCUUUAUUUAAUUAUAUAAUAAGUAAUAUCACAGAAGAGCCAUCCCGAAUCCCUCUGGUCUAGAGAAUUUCCUGAUGUGUCGGUAAGCUUUAUACAUGGUAAUAAUACAUGAUUUUCCUGGAUUCUCUGACUUGCCAGAGAUGCUUCUAGGAUCUCCAUUGAGUGGAGUACAUACUCUUCAAGGCUUGGUGGAAUCGGUUCUGUUUGUAUUUCGAAGACGUUGCUACAAGCCAAUCUGAAGGGCAGAGUUCUUGGCCGUACGUACUUUUCACGGAUAAUACAAUCCACCAUUCUCACAACGGGAGCCACUUUUUAGCAAAAAUGAAGCAAAUUGAAUGAGGUCUCAAUGUUUACUUUAAAAAAAGAGCACAUUCUAGACUCAAGCAUUUGUUUUGACUUAUAAGCAUUUGACGAAGUAUUUAUUUACUUGUUAAUAAACUGAAAAGUGUUUUUCUAUUUUGAAA